rnacentral:rRNA from 1 species
ACUCCUACGGGAGGCAGCAGUGGGGAAUAUUGCACAAUGGGCGCAAGCCUGAUGCAGCGACGCCGCGUGGGGGAUGAAGGCCUUCGGGUUGUAAACUCCUUUCGCUAGGGACGAAGCUUUUUUGUGACGGUACCUAGAUAAGAAGCACCUGCUAACUACGUGCCAGCAGCCGCGGUAAUACGUAGGGUGCGAGCGUUGUCCGGAAUUACUGGGCGUAAAGGGCUCGUAGGUGGUUUGUCGCGUCGUCUGUGAAAUUCUGGGGCUUAACUCCGGGCGUGCAGGCGAUACGGGCAUAACUUGAGUGCUGUAGGGGUAACUGGAAUUCCUGGUGUAGCGGUGAAAUGCGCAGAUAUCAGGAGGAACACCGAUGGCGAAGGCAGGUUACUGGGCAGUUACUGACGCUGAGGAGCGAAAGCAUGGGUAGCGAACAGGAUUAGAAACCCGAGUAGUCCCA